GGGUUGUGAGGUUAAGCGACUAAGCGUACACGGUGGAUGCCCUGGCAGUCAGAGGCGAUGAAGGACGUGCUAAUCUGCGAUAAGCGCCGGUAAGGUGAUAUGAACCGUUAUAACCGGCGAUUUCCGAAUGGGGAAACCCAGUGUGAUUCGUCACACUAUCAUUAACUGAAUCCAUAGGUUAAUGAGGCGAACCGGGGGAACUGAAACAUCUAAGUACCCCGAGGAAAAGAAAUCAACCGAGAUUCCCCCAGUAGCGGCGAGCGAACGGGGAGGAGCCCAGAGCCUGAAUCAGCAUGUGUGUUAGUGGAAGCGUCUGGAAAGGCGCGCGAUACAGGGUGACAGCCCCGUACACAAAAGCGCAUGUGCUGUGAGCUCGAUGAGUAGGGCGGGACACGUGGUAUCCUGUCUGAAUAUGGGGGGACCAUCCUCCAAGGCUAAAUACUCCUGACUGACCGAUAGUGAACCAGUACCGUGAGGGAAAGGCGAAAAGAACCCCGGCGAGGGGAGUGAAAAAGAACCUGAAACCGUGUACGUACAAGCAGUGGGAGCACAGGUUUACCUGUGUGACUGCGUACCUUUUGUAUAAUGGGUCAGCGACUUAUAUUCUGUAGCAAGGUUAACCGUAUAGGGGAGCCGGAGGGAAACCGAGUCUUAACCGGGCGUUAAGUUGCAGGGUAUAGACCCGAAACCCGGUGAUCUAGCCAUGGGCAGGUUGAAGGUUGGGUAACACUAACUGGAGGACCGAACCGACUAAUGUUGAAAAAUUAGCGGAUGACCUGUGGCUGGGGGUGAAAGGCCAAUCAAACCGGGAGAUAGCUGGUUCUCCCCGAAAGCUAUUUAGGUAGCGCCUCGUGAAUUCAUCUCCGGGGGUAGAGCACUGUUUCGGCUAGGGGGCCAUCCCGGCUUACCAACCCGAUGCAAACUGCGAAUACCGGAGAAUGUUAUCACGGGAGACACACGGCGGGUGCUAACGUCCGUCGUGAAGAGGGAAACAACCCAGACCGCCAGCUAAGGUCCCAAAGUCAUGGUUAAGUGGGAAACGAUGUGGGAAGGCCCAGACAGCCAGGAUGUUGGCUUAGAAGCAGCCAUCAUUUAAAGAAAGCGUAAUAGCUCACUGGUCGAGUCGGCCUGCGCGGAAGAUGUAACGGGGCUAAACCAUGCACCGAAGCUGCGGCAGCGACACUCAGGUGUUGUUGGGUAGGGGAGCGUUCUGUAAGCCUGUGAAGGUGGCCUGUGAGGGUUGCUGGAGGUAUCAGAAGUGCGAAUGCUGACAUAAGUAACGAUAAAGCGGGUGAAAAGCCCGCUCGCCGGAAGACCAAGGGUUCCUGUCCAACGUUAAUCGGGGCAGGGUGAGUCGACCCCUAAGGCGAGGCCGAAAGGCGUAGUCGAUGGGAAACGGGUUAAUAUUCCCGUACUUGGUGUUACUGCGAAGGGGGGGACGGAGAAGGCUAUGUUGGCCGGGCGACGGUUGUCCCGGUUUAAGCGUGUAGGUGUGUGUUCCAGGUAAAUCCGGUUCACUUUAACACUGAGGCGUGACGACGAGGCACUACGGUGCUGAAGCAACAAAUGCCCUGCUUCCAGGAAAAGCCUCUAAGCAUCAGGUAACAUCAAAUCGUACCCCAAACCGACACAGGUGGUCAGGUAGAGAAUACCAAGGCGCUUGAGAGAACUCGGGUGAAGGAACUAGGCAAAAUGGUGCCGUAACUUCGGGAGAAGGCACGCUGACACGUAGGUGAAGUGAUUUACUCAUGGAGCUGAAGUCAGUCGAAGAUACCAGCUGGCUGCAACUGUUUAUUAAAAACACAGCACUGUGCAAACACGAAAGUGGACGUAUACGGUGUGACGCCUGCCCGGUGCCGGAAGGUUAAUUGAUGGGGUCAGCGCAAGCGAAGCUCCUGAUCGAAGCCCCGGUAAACGGCGGCCGUAACUAUAACGGUCCUAAGGUAGCGAAAUUCCUUGUCGGGUAAGUUCCGACCUGCACGAAUGGCGUAAUGAUGGCCAGGCUGUCUCCACCCGAGACUCAGUGAAAUUGAACUCGCUGUGAAGAUGCAGUGUACCCGCGGCAAGACGGAAAGACCCCGUGAACCUUUACUAUAGCUUGACACUGAACAUUGAGCCUUGAUGUGUAGGAUAGGUGGGAGGCUUUGAAGUGUGGACGCCAGUCUGCAUGGAGCCGACCUUGAAAUACCACCCUUUAAUGUUUGAUGUUCUAACGUGGACCCGUUACCCGGGUUGCGGACAGUGUCUGGUGGGUAGUUUGACUGGGGCGGUCUCCUCCUAAAGAGUAACGGAGGAGCACGAAGGUUGGCUAAUCCUGGUCGGACAUCAGGAGGUUAGUGCAAUGGCAUAAGCCAGCUUGACUGCGAGCGUGACGGCGCGAGCAGGUGCGAAAGCAGGUCAUAGUGAUCCGGUGGUUCUGAAUGGAAGGGCCAUCGCUCAACGGAUAAAAGGUACUCCGGGGAUAACAGGCUGAUACCGCCCAAGAGUUCAUAUCGACGGCGGUGUUUGGCACCUCGAUGUCGGCUCAUCCCAUCCCGGGGCUGAAGUAGGUCCCAAGGGUAUGGCUGUUCGCCAUUUAAA
rnacentral:rRNA from 1 species